GACGAACGCUGGCGGCGUGCUUAACACAUGCAAGUCGAACGGAAAGGCCUCAGCUUGCUGGGGUACUCGAGUGGCGAACGGGUGAGUAACACGUGGGUGAUCUGCCUUGCACUCUGGGAUAAGCUUGGGAAACUGGGUCUAAUACCGGAUAUGAACUGCCUUUAGUGUGGUGGUUGGAAAGUUUUUUCGGUGCAAGAUGAGCUCGCGGCCUAUCAGCUUGUUGGUGGGGUAAUGGCCUACCAAGGCGUCGACGGGUAGCCGGCCUGAGAGGGUGUACGGCCACAUUGGGACUGAGAUACGGCCCAGACUCCUACGGGAGGCAGCAGUGGGGAAUAUUGCACAAUGGGCGGAAGCCUGAUGCAGCGACGCCGCGUGGGGGAUGACGGCCUUCGGGUUGUAAACUCCUUUCGACAGGGACGAAGCUUUUUGUGACGUUACCUGUAUAAGAAGCACCGGCUAACUACGUG
rnacentral:rRNA from 1 species